rnacentral:rRNA from 1 species
AACGCUGGCGGCAGGCCUAACACAUGCAAGUCGAGCGCCGUAGCAAUACGGAGCGGCAGACGGGAGAGUAACACGUGGGAACGUGCCCUAUGGUUCGGAACAACCCAGGGAAACUUGGGCUAAUACCGGAUAAGCCCUUACGGGGAAAGAUUUAUCGCCGAAGGAUCGGCCCGCGUCUGAUUAGCUAGUUGGUGGGGUAAUGGCCCACCAAGGCGACGAUCAGUAGCUGGUCUGAGAGGAUGAUCAGCCCCACUGGGACUGAGACACGGCCCAGACUCCUACGGGAGGCAGCAGUGGGGAAUAUUGGACAAUGGGCGCAAGCCUGAUCCAGCCAUGCCGCGUGGGUGAUGAAGGCCCUAGGGUUGUAAAGCCCUUUCGGCGGGGAAGAUAAUGACGGUACCCGCAGAAGAAGCCCCGGCUAACUUCGUGCCAGCAGCCGCGGUAAUACGAAGGGGGCUAGCGUUGCUCGGAAUCACUGGGCGUAAAGCGCACGUAGGCGGAUUGCUAAGUCAGGGGUGAAAUCCUGGAGCUCAACUCCAGAACUGCCUUUGAUACUGGCGAUCUCGAGUCCGGGAGAGGUGAGUGGAACUGCGAGUGUAAAGGUGAAAUUCG